UCGGUCCCUAUCUGCCGUGGGCGCUGGAGAACUGAGGGGGGCUGCUCCUAGUACGAGAGGACCGGAGUGGACGCAUCACUGGUGUUCGGGUUGUCAUGCCAAUGGCACUGCCCGGUAGCUAAAUGCGUUCUUGCUCCAGCGCCCUGUCGUCCAGGGAAAUUACGGUUCGUACCUGAUGCACAGCGAUCGCCGGGCGACAACACAUCUUCAUUCAUCGCAAGGCACAUUGAGCAACCCGACUGCCGCC
rnacentral:rRNA from 1 species